rnacentral:rRNA from 1 species
ACGCUCGACACCUACGGGAGGCAGCAGUGGGGAAUAUUGCACAAUGGGGGAAACCCUGAUGCAGCGACGCCGCGUGGAGGAAGAAGGUCUUCGGAUUGUAAACUCCUGUUGUUAGGGGAAAAAGAGGAUGGUACCCAACAAGGAAGUGACGGCUAACUACGUGUCAGCAGCCGCGGUAAUCUGAGCGGGCUGGCAAGGC